ensembl:processed_transcript
CUGACUGUGGCAGGGGACACUCUCCUGCUGGCUCUCUCUGUCCACACUUAGCUGGCUCCUGUCCUCAGGUGCACGGCCACACCCUCGCACCCAACCUUGAUCCUCUGAUGGGGAAGGUCCCAGGACUUGUCUGCUGGGACAGGCCUCACCCCCAAGAGCUCUGGGCAGUACCGAGAAGAUUGGCUGCCUCAGUAAACCCAGGAGAGCCAUGGUGACCACAGUAGCUUUCUCUUCAAAAUGACAACUAUCUCAUCUCUUCAGACUAAAUUAACUCCAUCCACAGUCAGAAGAAAACUCACAAAAUGGUGGUCAGGAAGACUGAUCUCUAGAACAUUCACGGGACGAAAGGAUGAGAGAAAAAAGGUGUGACAGAGAGGCAGUUACAAUUUGAAGCAACUGUGCGUCGCCGACUUUAUCCAUAAAGAAUUCCAGCCUGCCUCACAGUUUUCAAGACCACACACUCCGAGAGGCGGAGCGCAUACCAAGCAGAUCGCUGUCUCUUAGAGUAACGCAAGAGGAAGAUAAAGGACACUCAGACUCAGCGCACAUCCGGCCAAGCCUGACCCAAAUGCUUCCUCUUCGCAGACAGACUUUCAUAUCCUUCUUGCAGAGUCCCAACCCUGAGCAGAGGACAUCGGCACCUCAGUGGCUCUUCAUUUUAAUGGGGGAUUGCAGAGGCAAAGCUAGACUAGGUCUUGGAGGCUGGUGUAAGGUGGUGCGCGGAAGGCAGGACGCUGAUGGGAGAGACUGGUCG